UAUAAACACGUUCUCUGCUAAAUGCAGCAUCUGCCAAAUCUUCCAAAAGAGCAAGAUGAUUCGAUUUCCCAUUAUCUCAGUGUUUUAUAGUGUUUACACAAUGGCUUCAUUUUAACACAUCAAAUCAAAUGUAUUUAUAAAGCCCUUCUCACAUCAGCUGAUGUCUCAAAGUGCUGUACAGAAACCCAGCCUAAAACCCCAAACAGUAAGCAAUGCAGGUGUAGAAGCACGGCAUGGUCAUGCUACUACAGUAAUAAAUUACUGUACUUUAUAUAGAUUAUUAUUGUAACAAAUGUACUGAUGUGAUCAAAUGAUGAUAUAGCCUGUCAAGAUAUGUUACAUGAAUUCACAAUAGAAUUAUAAUAAAAUGAAACAUUUAUUGAAUUAUUACUCUCACAAUUUCACACAUUUUCAACAUAUAGUUUCCCCAUUUGACGCUUGACAAGCAGUUCCCUUAUUCCACCACUAUGCCUAUGCAUGGUCAUGGCUGUACGUACAUUUACGCACACUCAAGCAAAUGUUCAUAUUGAUAAGUUUCACACAUUGCGUAGAAAUGAUCCCAUGCAUGGUUUACGCACAGAUAUGUGCCUGAUUGAUAAAUGAGGGCCUAGGUGUGAUGAAUUUAGGAAAUCACUGAACGAUUCAAUUGCUCCGUGUGGUGCCUAGUUGGGACAAAAUCCUACAGUACCUGCAGCUCUCCAGAAACCGGGUUGUCUCCUCCUGGUCAACAGGGUUAUGGUUAGGUCUGGUACUCUACAGGGUUAUGGUUAGGUCUGGUACUCUACAGGGUUAUGGUUAGGUCUGGUACUCUACAGGAUUGUCUCCUCCUGGUCUAGAGGUUUAUGGUUGGGUCUGGUAUUCUACAUAGAGCUCUAGAGAGACAGAGAGCUUUGUCAUCUGGGUUUUUAUUGGUUCUUUUAGGAUCAGGCAGUUUAUUUUCAGAGACAUUUACAUCAUACAGUAUAAUUUACAUUAAUAUAGAUAAAAUAACAUAAAUUACACUAAUAUAGAUAAUCUAACAUCAUUAGAUAUAUCAUGUUGCAUACACACAGGGCCAAUCUAAAAUGGCACCAAACUCCUCUACAGAGCCCUGUUCCCUUCAUAGUACACUACUAUAGACCAGAGCCCUGUUCCCUUCAUAGUGCACUACUUUAGACCAGAGCCCUGUUCCCUUCAUAGUGCACUACUAUAGACCAGAGCACUGUUCCCUUCAUAGUGCACUACUUUAGACCAGAGCCCUGUUCCCUGUCAUAGUACACUACUAUAGACCAGAGCCCUGUUCCCUUCAUAGUGCACUACUAUAGACCAGAGCCCUGUUCCCUUCAUAGUGCACUACUAUAGACCAGAGCCCUGUUCCCUUCAUAGUGCACUACUUUAGACCAGAGCACUGUUCCCUUCAUAGUGCACUACUAUAGACUAGAGCCCUGUUCCCUUCAUAGUGCACUACUAUAGACCAGAGUCUUAUGGAACCCUACUCCCUUCAUAGUGCACUACUUUAGACCAGAGUCCUAUGGAACCCUACUCCCUUCAUAGUGCACUACUUUAGACCAGAUGUAUUAGACAGCUUUGGGAGACUUUGGCCCAAAGUAAUUGACUAUAGUGUUGUAAUAGUGCUCACUAUAGGGAAUAGGUUGACGCCAGCCGCUCCUCAUUCACUCAGCCUAUUGAGUCCACUGAUCCCACUCACACAGAACUACCUUACGCUUUGGCCUCUUUCUCCCCUCUCUCUCCAGAUAAAAUCCUGCGACUAGUGAUGUCCGUCCGCCCGACAUCCUGCCUGCUCAACCCUUCCUCCCUUCUCCACACCAUCUCUGGAGACCUCCUCUUCCUCACUUCCCUCAUCAACUCAUCCCCAUCCCCUCCUCCCUUCUCCACACCAUCUCUGGAGACCUCCCCUUCCUCACUUCCCUCACCCCCAUCCCCUCCUCCCUUCUCCACACCAUCUCUGGAGACCUCCUCUUCCUCACUUCCCUCAUCAACUCAUCCCCAUCCCCUCCUCCCUUCUCCACACCAUCUCUGGAGACCUCCCCUUCCUCACUUCCCUCACCCCCAUCCCCUCCUCCCUUCUCCACACCAUCUCUGGAGACCUCCUCUUCCUCACUUCCCUCAUCAACUCAUCCCCAUCCCCUCCUCCCUUCUCCACACCAUCUCUGGUGACCUCCCCUUCCUCACUUCACUCAUCAACUCAUCCCUGACCACUGACUUCAAGAUGGCCCGAGUCGCUCCUCUCCUCAAGAAACCAACACUCGACCCAUAUACUGUAUACUGUUAUCUUCAUGUAUAGAUGAUACUGUAUAUAUCCCCAUGUUAACAUGCUAUAUAUACUGUUAUAUUCAUGUAUCGAUGAUAUACACUCUCCGGCCAGUUUAUUAGGUCCGCCGCCCAUUUCACAAAACUGGGUUACAGACAGUGAGUUGUGUGGCUGUGUCUUGCUAUAUAAAGCAGGCAUCGAGGCAUUCAGUUACUGUUCAACUGAAUGUUAGAAUGGGCAAAACUAUGUGCCAAGCGCGCCAAAUUCAGUAUCUCAGAAAACAGUUUGUUGAUGAGCGAGGUCCAAGAAGAAUCUGUCUGUCUGUCUCUGUCUGUCUGCCUGAAAUUUUUCCUGUCUGUCUGCAUAUCUGCCUGUCUGCCUGUCUAUCUGUCUGUCCAUCUAUCUGCCUGCCUGCCCGUCCGUCCGUCUGUCUGUUCGUUUAUCUGCCUGUCUGCAUAUCUUCCUCUCCAUCUGUCCAUCCAUCUAUCUGCCUAUCUGUCUGCCUAUCUGUCUGCCUGUCUGUCUGUCUGCCUAUCUGUCUGCCUGUCUGUCUGCCUGCCUGUCUGUCUGUGGUCUGCUAUAGAAACAUGCAGUUAAUACAUAGAGGAAGCCAUAUAUGAUGAAUGUCUACCUGCCUGCCCGCCUGCCUGUCCAUCUAUCUGCCUGCCUUUUAACAUAUAUAUUUUUUACCCCCUUUUCGUGGUAUCCAAUUGGUAGUUACAGUCUUGUCUCAUCGCUGCAACUCCCAUACGGACUCGGGUGAGGUGAAGGUCGAGAGCCGUGCGUCCUCCGAAACACAACCCAACCAAGCCGCACUGCUUCUUGACACAAUGCCCACUUAACCCGGAAGCCAGCCGCACCAAUGUGUUGGAGGAAACAAUGUACACCUGGCGACCAUGCACUGCACCCAGGAGUCGCUAGUGCGCUAUGGAACAAGGACAUCCCUGCCGGCCAGCUGCAACAGAGCCUGGACUGGAACCCAGAAUCUCUAGUGACACAGCUAGCACUGUGAUGCAGUGCCUUAGACCACGGCGCCACUCUGGAGGCCUGUCUGUGUGUCUGCGUGUCCGUCAGUCUCCGUGCCCGCCUGUCUACCUGUCCGCGUGUCCGGCUGUCUGCCUGUCUACCUGUCUGCGUGUCUGCUUGUCUGCGUGUCUGCCUGUCUACCUGUCUGCGUGUCUGCCUGUCUACCUCUCUAACUGUCUGCCUGUCUACCUGUCCGCAUGUCCAGCUGUCUGCCUGUCUACCUGUCUGCGUGUCUGCCUGUCUACCUGCCGCGUGUCCGGCUGUCUACCUGUCUGCCUGUCUGUCUGUGUGUCCGUCAGUAUGCGUGUCUACCUGUCUGCGUGUCUACCUGCCUGCGUGUCUGCCUGUCUGCGUGUCUGCCUCUGCGUGUCUACCUGCCUGCGUGUCUGCCUGUCUGUGUGUCUGCCCUGUCUGCCUGUCUGUCUGCCUGUCUGCGU
ensembl:lncRNA